GGAGUGUGCGCUGUGGGCUGGACUGCCUUCAGCAGAGUGAGUCAUGUGUGAGACAGCUCAGCCCUGGCAGUGAGCUUUCCAGGAGAGCCUCUGACCCUCACAGACCUUCCUGAGCUCAGCCAGGAACUCGAGCUCCCUGACCAGCCCAGGGCUGCCAAUGGAUGUACCAAGACAGAACCAGGAUAGCUCCUAUAAGGCUCUUUUCCUAAGACACGCUAAGCAGGUACCCUCUCUAAAAUAUAUUGUUGGAGAAAAAGAAAAAAUUAA
rnacentral:lncRNA from 1 species